rnacentral:rRNA from 1 species
UACAGAGGUGGCAAGCGUUGUUCGGAAUUACUGGGCGUAAAGGGCGCGUAGGCGGCCUACUAAGUCAGACGUGAAAUCCCCCGGCUUAACCUGGGAACUGCAUCUGAUACUGGAAGGCUUGAGGAUGGGAGAGGGAUGUAGAAUUCCAGGUGUAGCGGUGAAAUGCGUAGAUAUCUGGAGGAAUACCGGUGGCGAAGGCGGCAUCCUGGACCAUUACUGACGCUGAGGCGCGAAAGCGUGGGGAGCGAACAGG